AUUGAACGCUGGCGGCAUGCCUUACACAUGCAAGUCGAACGGCAGCGGACCUUCGGGUGCCGGCGAGUGGCGAACGGGUGAGUAAUGCAUCGGAACGUGCCAUUGAGUGGGGGAUAACGUAGCGAAAGUUACGCUAAUACCGCAUAUUCUGUGAGCAGGAAAGCAGGGGACCGCAAGGCCUUGCGCUCUUUGAGCGGCCGAUGUCAGAUUAGCUAGUUGGUGAGGUAAAGGCUUACCAAGGCGACGAUCUGUAGCGGGUCUGAGAGGAUGAUCCGCCACACUGGAACUGAGACACGGUCCAGACUCCUACGGGAGGCAGCAGUGGGGAAUUUUGGACAAUGGGCGCAAGCCUGAUCCAGCCAUGCCGCGUGAGUGAAGAAGGCCUGGUGUAAGCUCUUUCGCCGGGAAGAAGUACGCAUGGGUUAA
rnacentral:rRNA from 1 species